rnacentral:lncRNA from 1 species
GACAUGAAAAUCUCAUAAUCAGCUGGAGGAUAGGAUUUGUCUCUUAAUAUGCCUUUUAUUAUCUUCAUGGACGGUGUCAUUGCUCGGGUUCAACCUUUCCAAUGCCCACGAGUCCGAGGAUGGGUGAAUUCUAAUCCGUAGCUACAUUACAAAAUGACAGUACAAAUCAAAAACUCUUUCUAUCAGUUAGGUAUCUAGCACCUGGAUUGAUCAACCUUGCUCCUUUUGCUUCAUAGACAAUGUGUAGCUCACAGAUAUUCAACUUCUGUCCGCUUCAUUCUGCCAGGUUGUUCCAUUCCAAUGGAGAAAACCAAAAAGGUUUGUGUAAUGUUUCGCUGUUUUUUUGCCAGCCAUAUGACAUUCUGCUUUGUAGUACGAGUGAUUUGUUGUGUUGUCUUAGUGAUGAAUAUUUGAUACUAUAUUUUGCUUACCUCAUUUUGGGGGAUUUUUCUGUUUUUCAAUAAUUUCCUAUCUUAGUUUUAUUUUAACCCGUCUUAGUUAGGUCUGCUAUAGGCUAAUCAUUAUGUCGACAACAGGACAUCAUGUCUUUUCAGACAAAGUUGGGUGGCCUCCCAAAUGGGCGACUAGUCAUAAAUCAAACUCGAGUUCUUUUUCCAGAGGGGAAUCAUGUAACCAACUCUCCCAACAC